CAAUAGCGUAUAUUAAAGUUGUUGCAGUUAAAAAGCUCGUAGUUGGAUUUGUGGCGUACGGUGUGUUCCGGGCACUUGUUGUCUGAGUAACCUGCUGUUGCCAUCCUUGGGUGGAACCUGUGUGGCAUUAGGUUGUCGUGCAGGGGAUGCCCAUCAUUUAUUGUGAAAAAAUUAGAGUGUUCAAAGCAGGCUUAUGCCGUUGAAUAUAUUAGCAUGGAAUAAUGAGAUAGGACUUUUUUGCUAUUUUGUUGGUUUGCGCAAAGAGGUAAUGAUUAAUAGGGACAGUUGGGGGUAUUCGUAUUCCAUUGUCAGAGGUGAAAUUCUUGGAUUUUUGGAAGACGAACUACUGCGAAAGCAUUUACCAAGGAUGUUUUCAUUAA
rnacentral:rRNA from 1 species